GCAGGAUAUCGAGGAUCACGUCGCCUUUGUUAUCACUGUCCCCACUGCGCUGGCUAUUUUCCUCACCAUCUUUGUUCUGGUCUGCAUCGAGUCCAUCUUCAAGAAGCUGCUACGAGUUUUCUCCUUGGUGAUCUGGGCCUGCCUGGUUGCCAUGGGUUACCUCUUUAUGUUUUUUGGAGGAAUCAUCUGUCCCUGGGAUCAGGUGUCUUUCUUCUUGUUCAUCAUCUUUGUGGUAUACACUAUGCUCCCCUUCUCUAUGAGAGAUGCCAUCAUAGCCAGCGUGCUCACUGCGUCGUCUCAUACUGUUGUCCUCAGUGUCUGCCUCUCCUCUACAGUCGACCAUGUGGAGCCCCUGGUAUGGCAGCUCCAGAUGCCAUGAUCUGUUCAUGUAAGUCCACAAAUUUUUUUUUCUUAUGUAGUAAAAUGUAGUCUGCUUGAAUUAUUGUUCUUAUUGUAAUGUCAACGGUUUAAACAACACCAUCAAAAGAACCAAGAACCGGGUUUCCGUUGCACUAAUAUAGGAGUCUCGCAUUUCGUCACGUUACUUGCAUACUUGGUACGCGGUCCAAUAUUAAAUGUGCUUUUGUUUUAAGUUUACUUCCCAACUAGCGUAAUGCUACACGUUAUCAUUUGAGGCGACAUCAAUGUUGUGCAUAAUCCCAGUUUAAAAAAAAGGUCAUAUUCUGACCUCUUGAAAGUUAUUUUAUAAAAAAAGGUCAAUGUGACAUUGCAAUUGAGGAAUGACGCUGUAAAAAGGCUACACUUUCUGCUUAGCUCACCAUAAAUCCUACUCUCGUAUUGCUUACCUGCUUAUAUCUCCAGCUUUCAUUACGUUUAUUGAAAACACUGAUAUACUACCUCCUCUUCUUUUAGACCACUCCCCAGUUACAUUGUGUCCUCUCCUAUUUUCUAAUUCUUCUGGAAGGACAAAAUGGAGGUUUGUUUUUUUUCACAACUACGUACCUCCUUAGUAGAGUUUAUCGAACAACCCUCAAGUGUUAUAGGAGGUACAUUGCUUUUUCCUCUUUUUGUCACAGGUCUAGGAAUGGCUGUAGAUUUGAACUAGAAAGUCAAGUUCAGGCAUUGGAACAAGAGCUCAAAAAUAUGUAUUAUCAACAAAAAGAACUAAGAACUAAAUGCACUAAAAUCAGAGUUAAAAGCUGUUCUUACACAGAGCUCAAUUUAUUAGGCCCCAUACAAAACUGUUUUACUACUUUAAUGAGAAGAGAUCAAGUAAAUUAUUAGCUCUAUGGAUUAAGCAAAUGGAAUCAAGAGCAAAUAUAUGCGCUAUAAAGAAGAUUAUCUUAACCAAACUAAAGAUAUAUACCAGGGGCAGUAUGUAUAACCCGUGUUUAGAGUAAAAUUUUUGUUUGUGUGUCAAAAUUCUAAGAAUGAUGUAAUUAUACUCUACUAUACUUAGACUUAAGAAUAAGAGUGAUUCGUAAACACUCCUCAGCUCCAGAAUUUAAUUUUGCACCAGAAACAGUGCACCAGCAAAAGUAAUGUUUGAUGGGGUUUUUAUGACUCCACAUUUCACAUACACCAUCAAAAUCUGAAAAACAAUUGAAGGGAAAGAAGUGUUGCCAAAUCUUUUAAGCCUAGCAUAAAAAAACAAUAUACUUAAAAUUUUUCUUCCAGUUAUAAGAAAAAUAUUCUGUUUUCUUCAGCAGUUUUCCCUCUCCAAAUUUGUUGAACAUCACAUGAGAGAAGCUAAAAGGGCCUCUGAACUGAAACUAGCUCUAGACUUCAUGCCAAAGAACAAAGCUCUUUUCAUUUUGUGAAAAUGGAACCCUUCACAGAGACCAAAACACAGGUCUUAUGCCCCUUUUACUCAAUAAGGGCAAAGACCCCCUAUUAUCAGUAUUAUCACAUUAUCAGUUUAAUAACUACAGAUACAAAACUCUUCGCUAAAACUUUAGCUCAUGGACUAACUAAUUCUACAGAUAAAGUCUGUUUUUUUCAAAGAUUGAUUUGCCUCCGAUAACAUCAGGCAACUUCUAUAUAUUAUUCAUAGGUCCAGUUCCUAUCAUUUCAUUUGACACAGAGAAGACCUUUGAUAGGAUUGAGUCGAGUUUUCUUUGGGCAGGUCUUGAGCCCGUAGGGGCUGGACAGGGAUUUAUCAAAAUCUAUCAUCUGUGUAAAUAUGUCACAUAAAAUCUAUUUUCCAAGAUUUAUAAUUCAACUACUGAAUUAUAUUUAUAAUUAUAUUAUUUACUGCAGUAUACAUAUAUUCCAGGUAUACACUCCUGGGCAAGGGACGAUCUUUCUCAGCCUGAUUGGGAUUUGGUAUGGGCCAGAUGUUUUACUGCUUCUAAAAAUCUUGCACAUCAGAUGACACAUUAUAAGUUUAUUAAUAGAGGCUAUAUCACCCCAGUGUAUUAUACAAGAUCAAGGUCAGAUCUGAUCCUUAUUGUCAUUUAUGUAAUAAAUCUAUAAUAGGCUCAAACUUGCACAUGUUCUAGGAAUGCCCAGUGAUAGUUCCUUUUUUUUAUUUGUAUGUUCUGUUCUUUUGAUUUCCUGUGUUUAGAUAUACUUUGAGAUCCACUACUUUUUCUAUUGUUAGAGUAUUCCAUUCUCCAGCUGAAUGCUCAUCAAAAAAGCACCCUAUCAGCUGCAAGUACUGCCACUAUAAAGACUGUUUUGAAGUUAUAGAUGGAACCAUCAACACCCAGAACUUUUACUUGGCUAUCUUAGUUCAGAGAAAUUGUUUUGCUGGAAAGUACCGCUGCCAGGCUAAUUUGAGCAAAGGCCAGCACUCAGAAUUGGACCAAUAUUGCAGAGAUGUUGCUAGAUAGACUGAAAAGUUGACAUUCCUACUGUGCUUAUGUGACUUUUAUUUCUUAUAUUCCUCUUCAUUCUUUUUCUCUGUAUAAGUGGACAGCUUCAUGGCAUCUGUUUGUACAUACACUAUAUUGCCAAAAGUAUUCGCCCACCUGCCUUGAACUUAAGUUACAUCCUAUUCCAAAUCCAUAGGGUUCAAUAUGACGUCGGUCCACCAUUUGCAGCUAUAACAGCUUCAACUCUUCUGGGAAGGCUGUCCACAAGGUUUAGGAGUGUGUUCAUGGGAAUUUUUGACCAUUCUUCCAGAAGCUUGUUUGUGAGGUCAAACACUGAUGUGGGACGAGAAGGCCUGGCUCUCAGUCUCUGCUCAUUCAUCCCAAUUCAUCCCAAAGGUGUUCUGUCAUGUUGAGCUCAGGACUCUUUGCAGGCCAGUCGAGUUCAUCCACACCAGACUCUGUCAUCCAUGUCUUUAUGGACAGUCAUGUUGGAAGAGGAAGGGUCCAGCUCCACAUUGUUUUCACAAAGUUGGGAGCAUGGAAUUGUCCAAAAUGUCUUGGUAUGCUAAAGCAUUCAGAGUUCCUUUUACUGGAACUAAGGGUCCAAGCCCAGCUCCUGAAAAACAACCCCACACCAUAAUCACCCCUCUACCAAACUUUACACUUGGCACAAUGCAGUCAGACAAGUACCAUUCUCCUGGCAACCGCCAAACCCAGACUCAUCUAUCAGAUUGCUAGAUGGAAAAAUGCAAUUCGUCACUCCAGAGAACUUUUCUCCAUUUCUCCAUUGAGUCUAGUGGCGGUGUGCUUUACACCACUGCAUUCAACACUUUGUAUUGCACUUGGUGAUGUAUGGCUUGAAUGCAACUGCUCAGCCAUGGAAACCCAUUCCAUGAAGCUCUCUCUCUCCCAUUCCAUGAAGCUCUCACUCCGUCAGUUUACGUUGACUUCCACUUUUUGGCUGAGUUGCUGUCAUUCCCAAAUGCUUCCACGUUCUUAUAAUACAGCCCAACAGUUGACUAUGGAAUAUUUAGGAGCAAAGAAAUUUGAUGACUGGAUUUGUUGCACAGGUGGCAUCCUAUAACAGUUCCACGCUGGAAUUCAAUAAGCUCCUGAGAGCGUCCCCGAAUGUUUGUAAAAACAGUCUGCAUGCCUAGGUGCUUGAUUUUAUACACCUGUGGCCAUGGAAGUGAUUGGAACACCUGAUUCCAAAUAUUUGGAUGGGUGAGUGAAUACUUUUGGCAAUAUAGUGUAGUUGUUUUGAAUUGUGAUUGGUGAAGUGAAACAAAAAUCUGAUGAUAUGAAAUAUAUAUUAAUAUAAAUAUACAUAUAACUUACAAUAUAUCUGUAAAUAGUAAAUAAUGUUCUUUAUUUUUUCAUAUUCCAUAAAUCAAAAGUUGUGUUACCCAUGGUAUCAGAUUUUAUUAUCAGAUUGCUUGUUUAGAAAAUACAAGAAGCUAACUUGCUUCCAUCUUAGUUACAAUGAAUGUGUAAACAAGCAAAUAUGACCUUUCAGUAAAAAACAAUUUCUGUAAAUGGCUUACAGUGAUAGCAUGCAUUUUAAAUUCUGUUUAAAAGGUCAAACUUUAUAUUACCAGUAACUCUUAAUAUAAUUAUAAAAAGUCAAAGAAUGUUUGUUUUUCAGUGUCCAUUUCUUGCAUUCAGUGCCAAUGUCCCUUAUUGCCUUAAAUUAUUAAAAAGGAGCCAUACACAGAUGCUUUCGCAAAUGCCAAAUGCUGUUUCUACUUCUUAUUUCUUAUACUGUCUCGAUUUUUUUAACUUCCUUUCAUGCUAUGCCUUUUGGUCCUGGGUAGAGAGUGUCUUGAAAGCUGUGUAUUCUCUAACAUCUGAAAUGCCUCAGGCACAGGACUAAGAAGCAUUUUGGCAAACUGUAGUUUUGCAGUGCAAUGAGAAAAAACAUGACGAUGGAUUGUGGAAAUUAAAGUAAUAUAUUUCCUACAUGUAAAUUAUUAUUACUGAGUAAAAAGUGUUUUGAAAAGAAUGUUUACAGUGAUAGGAUGAAUUAAUUGUAUUUUAAAUUGUUCUCUGAUAUCUACACAGAAGGUAUGCAGUUUAGGAAAGGCCAACAAAAAUCCCCAGAAACUAUUUUACAUGUCCCUUUACAACCCGAAUAUUUGUCUCUACAAUGAAAUUGUCUUUACCUUAUUUGGAAGGGUCAUGAAUAAUAAUGUUGAGCUCCGCUCUGAUUGGCUGUUUCACAGUGCAGCCAAUUUCAAUAGCUCACAGCAGGUAGGAGACACGGGAAGGAAAAUAUAUAGUUCAAUACUUUCUCUUGCAGUUAACACGUUAUUUGCCUUCUGUGCCUUUCUGAAUACAGACACCAACCCACCCCUUCACAGCCUGGCCUUGAACAUGGUUGGGUAUAUUUUAUGCAAAUGUUGGGGACUUAAUGAUCUAUAACGUCACAGUCGGUGUUAUGUUCUGAUUCGCCUGUUUUUCAGUGGUCUUUUUUAUGCAGGAGAUUUUACAUCAGAAGGAAGAAACAAUGGUGUUUGAGUUUUGCUGUAUGUCAUUUCCAUUUACAGAACUGUUAUUAUUUAACUAUGCCAAGGUGAAUGCAGUUUUCCAUUUUAUGACACCUUUAAUAAUUGUUAUGUUAAUGUAAACAAUAUUAGGUUUUCAUAGUCUAAGUUUAAUGUGAUUGCAUUCACAACGGACAAGGAUCACUGAUUUCUGAAACUGAAAAAAAUGCAUGACUCUGUCCUGCUCGGUGUGGUGUAGCAUACUAACUGUGAAAGAACAGAUUUUUGCCCCUUUGGGCGCCAGGGUGGAAAAGCUCUUACACAGAACUGCUAGAAUCUCUGCAGCAUGAUAUUUCAGCUCUUUCAGUCAGAAUCUCAACUGUACCCAAAGCAAUUUUUUGGUAGAACUGCAAAUUGCAAGAGCAAAGUGUCACUUAUCUUAUCUUAUGCUGGAUUUGUUUGGGACAGUUCACAAUAUACUGAUUACAUAAAUUUAUAAUUCCUUUCUCAGCUCUUAGACAUAUCGGGCAAUAUUUAGAUUUUUAGGGAAGCACAUGCUUUAGGAUGAGCUUUUGGGGCAUAGGAAAAAAUGUGUCCUUUCAAAAUAGACUUAAUUAUGAUGUCUCUGUCAUAACUCAUAAAUAACAGCAAACUUCAUUUUUGGCUUAACACAGUUGCAUGGUUGGCGUCCACAUAUGUGAUAAAAAUAUCAAUGAUUAUUAUUCAUUUCUUCAAUGAUUAUGUCUAAUGUCAUUUUACUGGUGAAAACUUUAAAUGCGAGUAAACACUAGCUAACUAAAUCACACAGGAUGACCUGUUAUUUGUGUCACUAUGUUUUGCAUGUAUUAAACUUAUGAUGAUUUUUUGCAAAACAGAAUACAAGUCAUUAUUUUGUGAGUAUUAUUUGGAGAAUAGAGAAACUUCUGUUGUUGUCUUUUUUUUAUGUAUCUCACUGUUAAUUGGAAAUUUCUGCCUGUUAUUUGUCAAAAUUCACAUGCCUAAAGGCCACACGACUAACCUUUUAAUGCUCUGAACGUUUAAUACCGGGAGAUUUAAAAAGUCUGAAUCAGAUACAGGCAUAAUGCCUGAAUAGAUGUUUCUGUAACCUCUUAACCUUUUUUCAAAUCCGAUAUGUUUCUAAAAACCUUUUAUUUUGUUGGAUGCCUUAAGGUGCUAAAUUAGAAUUACAUUUUUGUCUGUAUUGUGUUAGCUGUGAUAGUGUUCUGCUCCAGUGAUGUUCAGGGUGAGUUGAAUUGGAUCUGAUCUUGGUGUCACUGGCAGGUUAAAUUUCAUUAUGGUUUACGGUUUCCCUGAGGGGCACUCAGCAAAUAACAAUUCAUGCACUUUAGUGUGUAAUGAUGAUGGUAGAGCCACAGGUUCAACUGGGUGUUGAAUGGGAGGACAGAAAUCCAAUGCAAAAGAUGAAUGGGUUGAUGCUAUUCUAACUGAAUGUAUUCUAUAGAAUGCCAAUUUCAUUUAAAUGCAAAUAAUCUGUUAACCCUUUCGAUUUCUCUUUUUUGCUUUUGAGUUACACACAGAUAUACAAACAUUCUCAGAUUUUAAAUACACAUUUUAUAAUUAAGUUGAACAAUAAAUUGUAGGCAAAAAAUUUAUGAACUGAACUUAAAUUAUCCACAAGUGCAACACAGUGCUAAACCAGGUGAACUACCGUAUGGUACUUUCUUUAUACUCAUCAUUAUGUAAUCAUAAUUUGAAUGAAAAUGUAUUGGUUUAGAAAUAAUACAGAUAUUUAUGAAACGUUUAUACAGUAUAUAUAAUGCAUGACUAAAUUAUGUAUUAUCUAGACAUUUAUCAACAGCUAAGAGUGUCAAAACAUUUGGAAAACUUGUACCGUUACAUUGCGCAGGCAUCUAAAUAUUUCUAUAUGAAGUUACUUAGUUACAUUUUAUUUUGAUGUUAAGUAAAUCUCAUGAAUCUGUAACUACAUGUCUACAAACUCACAGAGUAGACUGUUAGGGUAGGUUUAGGAUUAGUAAAUUGGCAUAUACUUGUAACGUUUCUGAUAGUCAGUAUGUUAUAUGUGUUACGGGUGUGUGCCUCUAGAAUAAAUGAACUAAAAAAUAUAUAUAAAACUUGACACAUAUUAGCAACAUAUUAGCAACAUAUUAGCAACAUCCUGUGAAACAAUAUAACAUUAACGUACGACAAACAGAACUAAACAGUACAGGCUUUUAACAGUGACACAAUCAGGGAGAACUCAGAACAGCCAGGGAGUAAUCAAACAAUCAACCAUAAACAAGAAGAGAUAAAUGUCCAAAUAAGGGCACACAGGAAAGCAGGGCAAAAAAAACCCAAAAAGUAAACCUUAAAUAUCUA